CCUCGUCGUCCUGGACCUCGCCGCCGUCAGGGACCAGCACUGAGGAACAGAACGAAGGUCCGCCCAUUCCCGGCCUGGGACAGCCCCGUCGAAGCCUCCAAGUCCCUCCGGAUCGACGAUUGACCCCGUCUAGAACAGCCAUGGACGGGCAGUUUCAGUCAGAGUUCCGCAAGCGUGUCGGAUUGUGAGG